UACGAAGGGGGCUAGCGUUGCUCGGAAUCACUGGGCGUAAAGGGUGCGUAGGCGGGUUUUAAGUCAGAGGUGAAAUCCUGGAGCUCAACUCCAGAACUGCCUUUGAUACUGGAAAUCUUGAGUAUGGGAGAGGUGAGUGGAACUGCGAGUGUAGAGGUGAAAUUCGUAGAUAUUCGCAAGAACACCAGUGGCGAAGGCGGCUCACUGGCCCAUAACGUGACGCUGAGGCACGAAAGCGUGGGGAGCAAACAGGG
rnacentral:rRNA from 1 species